rnacentral:lncRNA from 11 species
UGGCAUCGAAUUCUGCCACGUUUUGUAAGCCGCCCUGAGUCCCUUCGGGUGAGAAGGGCGGGAUAGAAAUGAUGGAAAUAAAAUAAAUAAAUAAAGGAAACCAAUGAGGUCACAUACAAUAAACAUACUUUGAUUUUAAAAAAACCCUGGGUUGGCUCCUAAAAAGAACUGGGCCAAAGAUAGUGCAAGUAGUGUCAGAUACUGUCGGGGAGAGGUAGAUACCAGAAGUAUUGUCCCAUUAAAGUGCCGGGGAAGGCAUACACAAGGAAACAAGGAAUAAAGUGCAAUAAAGUUAAAAUAGGCAACAGGUCAAUCCUUUACUAUGGAAAUUGAUCAAUAGGAGAUGUCUACCGACAACGGCUGUUUAUUUAUCGUGUCAGAAGCAAACCGAGGGUACAAGUUGUAAUGUAUUUGAAACACAAGCAAUGUUUAAAAAAACUUGGCAUUAUUCUAAAUGUCCUUUGACCAGUAGCUGGCCACUUGGAAUGCCUCUGGUGUUGCUAUAAGAAGAGAGAGAGUCCUGAACUGAUGGAAACCACAGAUUCAACACUGCUGACAGAAGAAGGGUCCAACCCUGUUUCUCAACUGGCACGGAGGGUCCAAGGAGCUGGAGCCAAGAGCUGGAGGACUGUAUCAUCCUUGUUCAGCCGGGAAGAUGAACACAAACUGCUGGCCUCUGAGCCUUGUGCUGACCACCCCUUGGCAGCCAAACCGGAGGAGGAUUCCGCCUCCGAGAAGAGGACCGCCGGCCUUUGGGACGUCUUUGCUUCGAAGUGGCCGCAGCCUUCGGGCCUGGAGAAGAUGGUGGACCCCCGAGAGCCGCCCGCCAGGGGCAGGUCGGGGGACUCGGCGGCCGAGGAAGAGGAGGAGGGGGAAGCCGGCGGCACCGGCCAGGACAACGACCUCCGAGAAGCCGAAGGGAUGGCCUUCAAGUGGAGCUUCCUGACCAACAAACUGGCCGAGAUGAAGAACAGAAGCGUCUCCAAGAGCAACUAGGACAGAUGCAGGAAGGACAGACUUCAGACACGAUGCUUGUCUUUCCAGGAGAGGACAAGGACUGUCACUUUCUCCCCAAGAGCCUUGUGUGAUGCGGAGGAUCCAGGACAUUGUAUUAACCACCGCGAUGUUAGGAUGCUGCCCUCCUUGCACCCCCUUUCCCACGCGUGCCCCACAUUUCCCUAUCCCCUUGUCCUCCCCAUCUUCUUCAUAAGACUGUUCUUUCAAAUCUAUAUAUAUAAAAAAUGUAAUGUUCGUUUGUAGGACUGAGUAAACAACAAAACCACUGAACCAAAUCACACCAAAUUUGGCCACAAAAGACAUACUCAUCUAAUCUAUGUCUUUCAAACAAAAAACCUGGAAAAUAAAGUCCAAAUUAGAGAAUAUAUAAAUGUAAUGUACGUUUGUAGGACUGAGUAAAAGUCCAAAUUAGAGGACCAGGAAAAGCUGUGUAUACCAAUCUAUAUAUAUAAAAAUGUAAUGUACGUUUGUAGGACUGAGUAAACAACAAAACCACUGAACCAAAUCAUACCAAAUUUGGCCACAAAAGAUAUAGCCAUCCAAUCUAUGUCUUUCAAAUGAAAAAACCUGGAAAAUAAAGUCCAAAUUAGAGACGAGGAAGAGCCAUUUUCUACCCUGGUUGCUCGUCAGAAGGGUAGACCCUGCCCGCUUUAGGCCCCACCCACUUUUGUCUCCUAGCAACCCCCUCGGGCACAAUGGCACCGGGAUACAGCCAAGGUUCAGGCUUUUGAGGCUGCAAGGCUAUUCACUGCUAUUCCACCUGGACAACAAAGCAUUCCCAUAAGCCACAGCAACACGUGACUGGGCACAGCUUAUAUAUGUAUGUAUGUGUAUAUAUAUAAUAUGUGUGUGUGUGUGUAUAUACAUACACACACACACACACAUAUAUAUAGUCCAGAAUAAGUUCCUUAUUGGCUAGGCCAAUAUCCCUUACCACUUUCCAUGCCUAGAUGAUGUUUCGGGAAUA